rnacentral:rRNA from 1 species
GACGAACGCUGGCGGCGUGCCUAAUACAUGCAAGUCGAACGCUUCUUUCCUCCCGAGUGCUUGCACUCAAUUGGAAAGAGGAGUGGCGGACGGGUGAGUAACACGUGGGUAACCUACCCAUCAGAGGGGGAUAACACUUGGAAACAGGUGCUAAUACCGCAUAACAGUUUAUGCCGCAUGGCAUAAGAGUGAAAGGCGCUUUCGGGUGUCGUUGAUGGAUGGACCCGCGGUGCAUUAGCUAGUUGGUGAGGUAACGGCUCACCAAGGCCACGAUGCAUAGCCGACCUGAGAGGGUGAUCGGCCACACUGGGACUGAGACACGGCACAGACUCCUACGGGAGGCAGCAGUAGGGAAUCUUCGGCAAUGGACGAAAGUCUGACCGAGCAACGCCGCGUGAGUGAAGAAGGUUUUCGGAUCGUAAAACUCUGUUGUUAGAGAAGAACAAGGACGUUAGUAACUGAACGUCCCCUGACGGUAUCUAACCAGAAAGCCACGGCUAACUACGUG